rnacentral:lncRNA from 1 species
GUCUCUUGCAUAAGAAGGACACACAUACAUCAUGGAUGAAGGCGAGCCAGCAGGUCAUCUGUCUUGGGGAAACUGGUUGUCCAUGUGCCCUGGAAAAGAGCUUUUCAGAAGAAUGAUAACGGAGUGUGGUCCUUCCCUCUUCUAUUAUCUCCCAUCCAUUGUCCAAUCUCACAACUGCUUUACCAAGCACCUGGUAUUAUGGUUCCCAAACCUCGAUGAUUAGCAUUUUCUCAACAAUUGAACACAGGUUUCGUGCAAAAUGCAAAAGAAAAGGUGAGUUUUAGAACACAAGGAAGAUACCUUUGACUCUAUCUGCACAGCUAGAAUCAGCUACCAAUAUGUUGUGCUGAACGAUUCUGAAGUCAGAAGAACCUUCGGAGAUGAGAGCAAACAACCUCUCU